AAAAUUAAUAAUAAUAAUGAUUCAACCACAAAUUGAAACAGAGAGAAAAUUAUGAACAAAAAAUUCAAUGAGCAGCUUUUGAAAAUUCAAUUACAUUUUUCGCAUCUACAAGUUUAAUCAAGUAGGACUAACCAUAAUUUUUUUUUUCUGAAACAAGUGGGAGUAACCAUAAUUAAAAAAAUAUUGAUGUCAUAAAAGUAAAACUGAACAAGGAUUUGAAUCUGAUUGAUCCAGAAAUUAAGUUUGUCUAACUAAAAGAAUUGAGUUUAAAAAUCUUCUAAUUAAAACAAAUUAAACGCAAUCGCUCAAUUUCCUGAAAUUGAAUCGAAUCGAUCAAUAUUUUUCAAGAUCUUUAAAAUAAAAGUUUCCUAUCAGAGAAGAAGAACAAGAAAGAAGAUGAAACCAAAAAUAUCAAAAUCAAAAUUAC
rnacentral:misc_RNA from 1 species